GACGAACGCUGGCGGCGUGCUUAACACAUGCAAGUCGAACGGAAAGGCCCCUUUGGGGGUACUCGAGUGGCGAACGGGUGAGUAACACGUGCGUAACCUGCCCUUGACUUUGGGAUAACUUCAGGAAACUGGGGCUAAUACUGGAUAGGAAUCCUUGCUGCAUGGUGGGGGUUGGAAAGCUUCGGCGGUUUUGGAUGGACUCGCGGCUUAACGGCUUGCUGCUGGGGUAGUGGCUUACCAAGGCUUUGACGGGUAGCCGGCCUGGGGGGGCGACCGGCGAUCUUGGGACUGAGAUGCGGCCCAGGCACGGACGGGAGGCAGCAGUGGGGAAUAUUGCACGAUGGGCGGAGGCCUGAUGCAGCAACGCCGCGUGCGGGAUGACGGCCUUCGGGUUGUAAACCGCUUUCAGCAGGGGCGAAGCUUGUGGUGACGGUACCUGCAGAAGAAGCACCGGCUAACUACGUG
rnacentral:rRNA from 1 species